rnacentral:misc_RNA from 1 species
AGCAUCCACACCUAUACUAUUUCCUUACAAAUCACACCACUGGUCAUCAGACUUUAAAGCCAGUAAUACAUGAACAAGAGAAUUUCCAUUAAGAAAAGGACCAAGCCUUUUCAGCAACAAGAUUCUCCAUUCUUAAAAAGUGAGAAGUCCAGGUAGAAUCCACAAGCCUUCCCAUACCAUGCUUGGCAAAAAUCUUUCACUCAAAGACUCAUGCCUCCUCACACGCUACCCAGACCCUGUGCUGCCUAUCCUGGUUCAGUUCUGCUGAACAAGAAGUUGGGAU